UACGAAGGGGGGCUAGCGUUGUUCGGAAUUACUGGGCGUAAAGGGCUCGUAGGCGGCCAACUAAGUCAGACGUGAAAUCCCUCGGCUUAACCGGGGAACUGCGUCUGAUACUGGUUGGCUUGAGUGUGGGAGAGGGAUGCGGAAUUCCAGGUGUAGCGGUGAAAUGCGUAGAUAUCUGGAGGAACACCGGUGGCGAAGGCGGCAUCCUGGACCAUUACUGACGCUGAGGAGCGAAAGCCAGGGGAGCAAACGGG
rnacentral:rRNA from 1 species